GACGAACGCUGGCGGCGUGCUUAACACAUGCAAGUCGAGCGGAGCGGCGAACGGGUGAGUAACGCGUGAGUAACUGCCCCCCUCUCUGGGAUAACAGUUGGAAACGGCUGCUAAUACCGGAUAGUGGUGGAUGACUCGCGUCCUAUCCGCUUGUUGGGUGGGUAGGGGCCUACCAAGGCGACGAGGGGUAGCCGGCCUGGGAGAGCGACCGACCACAUUGGGCUAAGAUACGGCCCAAACUCCUACGGGAGGCAGCAGUGGGGAAUAUGGCACAAUGGGGGAAACCCUGUUGCAGCAACGCCGCGUGCGGGAUGACGGCCUGCUGGUUGUAAACCGCUUUCAGCCAUGACGCGUUAGUGGCAGAAGAAGCACCGGCUAACUACGUGCCAGCCGCCGCGGUAAUUC
rnacentral:rRNA from 1 species